GAUCAUGGCUCAGGAUGAACGCUAGCUACAGGCUUAACACAUGCAAGUCGAGGGGAAACGACAUCGAAAGCUUGCUUUUGAAGGGCGUCGACCGGCGCACGGGUGAGUAACGCGUAUCCAACCUGCCCACCACUUGGGGAUAACCUUGCGAAAGUAAGACUAAUACCCGAUGAUAUCUCUAGAAGACAUCUGAAAGGGAUUUAAAGAUUUAUCGGUGAUGGAUGGGGAUGCGUCUGAUUAGCUUGUUGGCGGGGUAACGGCCCACCGUGGCUACGAUCGGUAGGGGUUCUGAGAGGAAGGUCCCCCACAUUGGAACUGAGACACGGUCCAAACUCCUACGGGAGGCAGCAGUGAGGAAUAUUGGUCAAUGGACGGGAGUCUGAACCAGCCAAGUAGCGUGCAGGAUGACGGCCCUAUGGGUUGUAAACUGCUUUUGUGCGGGGAUAAAGUGUGGGACGUGUCCCAUAUUGCAGGUACCGCAUGAAUAAGGACCGGCUAAUUCCGUG
rnacentral:rRNA from 1 species